UACGUAGGGUGCGAGCGUUAAUCGGAUUUACUGGGCGUAAAGCGCGCGUAGGCGGUGCGGUAAGUCAGGGGUUAAAGGCUGCAGCUCAACUGCAGUAAGGCCUUUGAUACUAUCGCGCUAGAGUACCAGAGAGGAUGGCGGAAUUCCCGGUGUAGCGGUGAAAUGCGUAGAUAUCGGGAGGAAUACCGGUGGCGAAGGCGCCCCUCUGGACGGUAACUGACGCUGAGGCACGAAAGCGUGGGGAGCAAACAGG
rnacentral:rRNA from 1 species